rnacentral:rRNA from 1 species
UACGUAGGGGCCGAGCGUUGUCCGGAGUUAUUGGGCGUAAAGCGCGCGCAGGCGGCCUCGCGCGCCCGACGUGAAAGCCCCCGGCUUAACCGGGGAGGGUCGUUGGGGACGGCGGGGCUUGAGGGCGGGAGAGGUCGGUGGAAUUCCCGGUGUAGUGGUGAAAUGCGUAGAGAUCGGGAGGAACACCUGUGGCGAAAGCGGCGCACUGGACCACAACUGACGCUGAGGCGCGAAAGCUAGGGGAGCAAACAGG